rnacentral:rRNA from 1 species
GACGAACGCUGGCUGCGUGCUUAACACAUGCAAGUCGAACGCUGAAGCCUGGUGCUUGCACCGGGUGGAUGAGUGGCGAACGGGUGAGUAACACGUGAGUAACCUGCCCCUGACUUCGGGAUAAGCCCGGGAAACUGGGUCUAAUACCGGAUACGACUGCCGGACGCAUGUCUGGUGGUGGAAAGUUUUUUCGGUUGGGGAUGGGCUCGCGGCCUAUCAGUUUGUUGGUGAGGUAAUGGCUCACCAAGACGACGACGGGUAGCCGGCCUGAGAGGGCGACCGGCCACACUGGGACUGAGACACGGCCCGGACUCCUACGGGAGGCAGCAGUGGGGAAUAUUGCACAAUGGGGGAAACCCUGAUGCAGCGACGCAGCGUGCGGGAUGACGGCCUUCGGGUUGUAAACCGCUUUCAGCAGGGAAGAAGCGCAAGUGACGGUACCUGCAGAAGAAGUACCGGCUAACUACGUGCCAGCAGCCGCGGUAAUACGUAGGGUACGAGCGUUGUCCGGAAUUAUUGGGCGUAAAGAGCUCGUAGGUGGUUGGUCACGUCUGCUGUGGAAACGCAACGCUUAACGUUGCGCGUGCAGUGGGUACGGGCUGACUAGAGUGCAGUAGGGGAGUCUGGAAUUCCUGGUGUAGCGGUGAAAUGCGCAGAUAUCAGGAGGAACACCGGUGGCGAAGGCGAGACUCUGGGCUGUAACUGACACUGAGGAGCGAAAGCAUGGGGAGCGAACAGGAUUAGAUACCCUGGUAGUCCAUGCCGUAAACGUUGGGCACUAGGUGUGGGGGGCAUUCCACGUUCUCCGCGCCGUAGCUAACGCAUUAAGUGCCCCGCCUGGGGAGUACGGUCGCAAGGCUAAAACUCAAAGGAAUUGACGGGGGCCCGCACAAGCGGCGGAGCAUGCGGAUUAAUUCGAUGCAACGCGAAGAACCUUACCAAGGCUUGACAUACACCGGACCGUCCUGGAAACAGGUCUUCUUCUUUGAAGCUGGUGUACAGGUGGUGCAUGGUUGUCGUCAGCUCGUGUCGUGAGAUGUUGGGUUAAGUCCCGCAACGAGCGCAACCCUCGUUCUAUGUUGCCAGCACGUGAUGGUGGGAACUCAUAGGAGACUGCCGGGGUCAACUCGGAGGAAGGUGGGGAUGACGUCAAAUCAUCAUGCCCUUUAUGUCUUGGGCUUCACGCAUGCUACAAUGGCUGGUACAGAGAGAGGCGAACCCGUGAGGGCAAGCGAAUCCCUUAAAGCCAGUCUCAGUUCGGAUCGUAGUCUGCAAUUCGACUACGUGAAGUCGGAGUCGCUAGUAAUCGCAGAUCAGCAACGCUGCGGUGAAUACGUUCCCGGGCCU